CUGCUGAUUAAUCACAUCUAUUGCAGCUGUCGUACUGGGGGGAUUUGAACAAACCAUGGAGUUUUUCAUUUUUUCCUCUUUUUGUAGUGCCAUAGUACAGAAAUACGUUUGAACAAAAUGUUCAUUCUAUCCUUUAAACGUCUUUGAAAGACCUAUUCUGGAGGAAGAAUAAAUAUAGCUUUCCAGUAUAGCCUUGCAGUACUAAAUUUUGUUGAAUGUAAGUAUUUAAGUCACAUACAUUAUUGUUAAUAUUCAGAAGAAAACAGAAAUAUAUAUGUAUUUUAUUUGAGCUGUUUUUUUUUCUGAAUCUUCUGGGAAGUGGAACUUCUGUCCAUGUGGAAGGCACCCAACUUUACCAGGUGCUUCUGAACGAACAUCUCAAGUGCCUGGUUUUCCAGCUGUUCUUCAAGUGAUUACACGUAUGCAUGUGAGUGUAUAUAUGUGUAUUAGCAAGGUAUUAAAGAUGACUGUGAGGGCAGUACAUAAAUGACUGACAAAUUGAGAUGGUUUGAUACUGUAAAACAAAAACAUGUCUUUUCAGGGUGAUACCUCUUGCUGACGAGCAGGAAAUUUCUCCACAGGAAGUAUCCAAGUGCUAUCAAGAUCUGGAGAGCCUUCUCUGCAGUUUGCCAAAGAGUCCAGCAUUUCCUGUUUACAUUCUGCACAUAUGCAUGAGGACACCCUGUAGUCACUCUGUGCUUAAAGUGAUGCAACUAAAAGGAUCUAAUAAAAGGCUUUCCUUCCAGCUUCCGACUUUGUUGUGUCCUAGAACCUGCAGGGCCACUGCUACUCUACUGCUGUUCACCUUAGCCUCCACUGUAGUCC
rnacentral:lncRNA from 1 species